AUGUUAGAAAAAAGUAGUCUAAUCCAAGAAAUAAUGGAGGAGGAAGAAGAAAUACCAAAACCCAAGUCAGUGGUGGCACCACCAGGUGCUCCUAAGAAAGAACAUGUAAAUGUGGUAUUCAUCGGGCAUGUUGAUGCUGGCAAGUCAACCAUCGGAGGACAAAUAAUGUAUUUGACUGAAAUGGUCGACAAAAGGACACUUGAGAAAUAUGAAUGAAAUAUGAACUAGAAGCUAAAGAAAAAAACAGAGUACCAAGUGUACUUGUCUUGGGCCUUAGACACAAAUCAGGAAGAAUGAGACAAGGGUAAAACAGUAGAGGUGGGUUGUGCCUAUUUUGAACCAGAGAAGAAGCAUUUUAUAAUUCUAGGUGCUCUUGGCCAUAAGAGUUUUGUCCCAAAUAUGAUUGGUGGUGCCUGUCAAGCUGACUUGGCUGUACUGGUAAUCUUAGCCAGGAAAAGAGAAUUUGAAAUUGGAUUUGAAAAAGGAGGACAGAAGCUGAGAGGAUCCUGACAGACAAGAGAACAUGCAAUGUUGGCAAAGACAGCAGAUGUCAAACACUUAAUUGUGCUUAUUAAUAAGAUGGAUGAUCCAACAGUAAACUGGAGCAAUGAGAGAUACGAAGAAUGUAAAGAGAAACUAGUACCAUUUUUGAAAAAAAGUUGGCUUCAAUCCCAAAAAGGACAUUCAUUUUAUGCCCUGCUCAGGACUGAUGGGAGCAAAUCUUAAAGAGCAAUCAGAUUUCUCUCCUUGGUACAUUGGCUUACCAUUUAUUCCAUAUCUGGAUAAUUUUGCAAACUUCAAUAGAUAAGUUGAUGGACCAAUCAGGCUGCCAAUUGUCGAUAAGUACAAGGAUAUGGGGACUGUGGUCCUGGGAAAGCUGGAAUCUGGAUCUAUUUGUAAAGGCUAACAGCUUAUAAUGAUGCCAAAUAAGCACAAUGUGGAAGUUCUUGGAAUACUUUCUGAUGAUGUAGAAACGGAUUCUGUAGCUCCAGGUGAAAAACCUCAAAAUCAGACUGAAAGGAAUCAAGAGGAAGAGAUUCUUCCAGGCUUCAUCCUUUGUGAUCUUAAUAAUCUUUGUCAUUCUGGACACACAUUUGAUGUUCCGAUAGUGAUUUAUAGAGCACAAGUCCAUCAUCUGCCCAGGUUAUACAUGCGGUGCUGCAUAUUCAUACAUGUAUAGAGGAAGUCGAAAUAACAGCCUUCCUUAAUCUGCCUGGUAGACAAAAAAAUCAGAAGAGAAAAGUAAAACUCGACCCCAUCUUGUAAAACAAGAUCAAGUAAAACAAGAUAAAGUAUACAUUGCUCGUUUAAGGACAGGAAGAACCAUCUGCCUGGAGACUUUUAAGGACUUACCUCACAUGGGGCGUUUUACCUUUAAGAGAUGAGGAUGAGACCAUUGCAACGGGAAAAGUUGUGAAACUAGUUCCAGAAAAAGACUAA